rnacentral:rRNA from 1 species
CGGCACGCCUUAUACAUGCAAGUCGAACGAAGUAGCAAUACUUAGUGGCAGACGGGUGAGUAACAUGUGGGUAUCUUCCCUUUGGUGAGGAAUAACACGAGGAAACUUGUGCUAAUACCUCAUAAGUCUUUACGGAGAAAGCUUUAUGCGCCAAUGGAUGAGCCCGCACUUGAUUAGUUUGUUGGUGGGGUAAUGGCCUACCAAGACUUUGAUCAAUAGCUGAUCUGAGAGGAUGAUCAGCCACAUUGGGACUGAGACACGGCCCAAACUCCUACGGGAGGCAGCAGUAGGGAAUAUUGCACAAUGGAGGAAACUCUGAUGCAGCGAUGCCGCGUGAGUGAAGAAGGCCUUUGGGUUGUAAAGCUCUUUCGUCGGGGAAGAAAAUGACGGUACCGGAAUAAGAAGGUCCGGCUAACU